rnacentral:piRNA from 1 species
AGUAUCCCUAACUAACGUCCCGA